CCCCGUCGCCCCCCAUUUCAAUGCUGAAUUUUCGACAGAGCGGCCCCCCCCUCCCGUCUUCACCGACACAUGACGGCAGCAGCGAGCGGCUUCCGGAGCCGCUCCGCCCCCCCCACCUCCACCACCUGCAGUACCGCCGUUCGGACGCACGGUGGCAGCACACGCUCCCUUUUUCGGUGCCGCAGGGGAAACGGGCUCCGGAGCUGCUGCUCCGCGCCCGGCUUCAGUCCUCCGUGGAAUGCUCCUCGGAGCGGUGCUUUUGGUUUUGCAAACGCCGCAGGCAUCACCUGCACACACAGAGCUCCUGCCCUCGCUUGGCCACCUGAAAUUCAGAGGGAGCUCUGCACACGGCCUCUCCGGUGCCCGAUCUCUGGAUCUCUCUCUAAGAGAUGGGGCUGUUCUCUGGAUAAAGCACGCCGGGGUUUGCUCUGUUGAAGAGCCCUUUUCUCCCUGGAUCUCCUCCUGGGCUGCAGCCAUCAGCCAAAACGGAAAGCACUGCUCAUCCUACCUCUUUUACCCCAGCUUUGGAGUCUUGCGGCGUUUUGUGCUGUUGUGCUGGGAUGUUUGCCGUAAUGGAAUCAGCUGAGUGCGGAGCAUCAGGACCUCUCAAGGCUUCCCAGCAGCUCCCACCCGUAAGCACCAAAGAGUCCUCCUCAGCCUCGGGUCUGAGUCAGCUCCCCGGGCAUGGGGCAUUCUGUGCUGCAGGGAACAGAGCGUGCGGGCGACACGGGUCCUGCAUGGACACCUCGUUGCUGUUCUCGUCUGCGUGCGAUCAUCCAGGGUGAGACCAGGGGACAUACUAGGAAGACUGCUGGGGAUGCCUUCCGUCUUCUCCCUGCGUACCAGGAACUCUGUCAUCUGACGCUCCUCCAGAUGGACCUCCUUUCCAGCUGAACUCAAUCACCACUGCACUGAUUUCAGGCCUUGUCCACCUAGGAGUCACAAACGUUUUCUUUUUUGUAUGUUCCUUAACUCUUCUGUGCAGAAAGUGGCAUGACAGUUCAGUCUUGAGUGGCAUCUGAAAUGCAGGUUUCAGCUGAAACCGGUGAUUUACUUGCACUUUUUCUGUGGGGCUGUCUUUCUUGUCCAUGAAAUAUGAUUCCAUUAAAAAAUGUUGACACAAUGUUCCAGCUGUAUCCAGCUUCUAUACCAGCUGUUCUGUAUUUUUAUUUUGCUAGAUUAUGUUGUGUAGGUAAAGCAGCAGUGGUAUUGGUAACAUUCAGAAAUGCUCAUAAGUUCAUACACACGUAGUAAGAUAAGGAUCUCGUCUAUUUUGUCAUGGCAUUUUUCACAUGUUUGCUUCUCAGAAGGACUUUGUUUUAUUCUAUCUUGGUUAAAAAUAAAAACAAACCAAAACUUG